UACGUAGGGGGCAAGCGUUGUUCGGAAUUACUGGGCGUAAAGGGCGCGUAGGCGGCCCAGCAAGUCGGGAGUGAAAGCCCGGGGCUCAACCCCGGAAUGGCUUUCGAAACUGCUGAGCUAGAGUACAGAAGGGGCAACCGGAAUUCCCAGUGUAGCGGUGAAAUGCGUAGAUAUUGGGAAGAACACCUGAGGCGAAGGCGGGUUGCUGGGACGUUACUGACACUGAGGCGCGAAAGCGUGGGGAGCGAACAGG
rnacentral:rRNA from 1 species